ACUUUAGGAUCAAAGUCUUUCACUCGCUUUGAUUCACACCUGAUUCAGUUGUUUAAUCACCUGUUCAGCAGGUCAUGAAGCACUGUAGAAGCACCCACUGAUUCAGAUCAGGUGUGUUGGAGCAGAGAAACAACUAAAACAUGCUGGAUAGGGGUCCUUGAAGACCAGGGUGUGAGGGAACUGCUUUAAAUGGUGUCAAUUCUUCCCACUGUCACCCCGUGCAUUCUCAGAAAGGAUUAGGAUUAGAAGUUGACCAAUAUUGGUUUUUCUAUUGCCGAUAGGUAAACGUCAUGACCAAUAUAUUGGUCUACCCCUAAUUAUGAUGAAGAUGCAAUCUGCCUUACUGCUUAAAUACUCAUAACACACUGAGACUGGUUAUAUUGCAGCUUGAUUAAAUUGACUGCAAAUAGUUGGAUUUAAUCUGGGUUUGGAUUAGGUGUUUAGCUUUAUUGCAGAGCACCCUGAGAUGACUUUUGCUGGUGACUUUAUAAAUAAACUGAGUUGAAUUACAUACAGCAUGAUACAAAUCAUGACUGUUUAGUGCUGACAUCACACCAGGCUCUCAGAGGACUUCAGCACGCCUCACUGGAGAUGCGGCCGUCUGUACUUCGGUUGUCGGGGAGAAUCAAGUGCUGACAUGCCUACUGACAACUGACAACAGGCACAUGGGAACCCCGCCUCUAAAAAUGAUUUAUUACCUCUUUACAUCUAAGGGGAGGAUUUAAUCCCCAGAAUAUAAUUUGAUAAAUAUUCAUAUAAAAUAAGCAUGUUCUGUAGGUAAGGACUGGUAAAACUCCAGACUAUUGUAAAAGUAAAGGUGAAAUGAAUAAAUAAGAGUAAAAUCCAUUUCUUGUAUGAAUAACAACUGAACUGGAUUACGACCUUAAAAAAAUCCACCAAUGAGGACUGAAAAUCUAAAACUGACACCAAUCUUUCAAACUCCCACAAGGUGACACAAAGUCCCGUGUGUCUAAUUGAACAGUGGUUGGACAAACAUCUGCCAAAAGCCACAGUUGAAAUCCAUAUGGUGGGAAGAUAACUGACAUGUGCAGGUCUGGGCUUGACAUGAGCACGGAUACAUAAACAGAUGGUGUGGGUGGGUGGGUGGGUGGAGGUGGCUGGAGGGUUGAAGUCAAACACUGGUACCCUCUUCUACCCUUUCACGUUUAGAAAAUCAUGUGACAAGUGACACUUUCGGCAAAUGCCACGGUAAAUGUUCCCUUUGCUCUAAUGACUUGUGUUUAAUUCAAUCAUCGCAGGACUCUGUAUAAAAGGUAAACAGAUCUGGUUGGUAACUGAUACAUGCCACCAAACAGAAUAAUAUACAGUUUAGCUGAAUGCAAGUAUAAUAAAAUACUAACAGAUUCAGUAAUACCAUGCUCUGGUUUUUAAGACAAAACAAAAAAAAAAGAGGGGAAAAAGAAAACAAAGGAUUAGGAGUGUAAAGAGCAAA